UACGGAGGGUGCAAGCGUUAAUCGGAAUUACUGGGCGUAAAGCGCACGCAGGCGGUCUGUCAAGUCGGAUGUGAAAUCCCCGGGCUCAACCUGGGAACUGCAUUCGAAACUGGCAGGCUAGAGUCUUGUAGAGGGGGGUAGAAUUCCAGGUGUAGCGGUGAAAUGCGUAGAGAUCUGGGGGAAUACCGGUGGCGAAGGCGGCCCCCUGGACAAAGACUGACGCUCAGGUGCGAAAGCGUGGGGAGCAAACAGG
rnacentral:rRNA from 1 species